rnacentral:rRNA from 1 species
GUGCCAGCAUCCGCGGUAAUACGAAGGGUGCAAGCGUUGUUCGGAAUUACUGGGCGUAAAGGGCGCGUAGGCGGGUUGGUAAGUCGAAUGUGAAAUCCCCGGGCUUAACCUGGGACGUGCAUUCGAUACUGCUAAUCUUGAAUGCUUGAGAGGGUGGUGGAAUUCCUAGUGUAGAAGUGAAAUUCGUAGAUAUUAGGAGGAACACCGGAGGCGAAGGCGGCCACCUGGCAAGACAUUGACGCUAAGGCGCGAAAGUGCGGGGAGCAAACAGGAUUAGAUACCCUGGUGUCCGCACCAUAAACGAUGGAUACUAAAUGUUGGAGAAUUAACCCUCUGAGUAUCAAAGUUCACACAUUAAGUAUCCCGCUGGGGAGUACGGCYGAGGCUGAACUCGAGGAUUGACGGGGGCCGCAAAGCGGUGGAGUAUGUGGUUGAUUCGAAGCAACGCGCAGACCUUACCUGGGUGACAUCCCACGAAUACUGCAGAGAUGUAGUAGUCCCGCAAGGGACGUGGAGACAGGUGCUGCAUGGCUGUCGUCAGCUCGUGUGUGAUAAUGUUGGGUUGAGUCCCGCACGAGCGCAACCGUUGUCCUUAGUUGCCACCAUUAAGUUGGGCACUCUGGGGAGACCGCCGGUGUUAAACCGGAGGAAGGCGGGGAUGACGUCAAGUCCUCAUGGCCCUUACAUCCAGGGCUACACACGUACUACAAUGGUAGAAACAAAGUGACGCGAAGCCGUAAGGUGGAGCAAAUCGCAAAAACACUACCUCAGUUCGGAUUGAAGUCUGCAACUCUGACUUCAUGAAGCUGGAAUCGCUAGUAAUCGCAGAUCAGCACGCUGCGGUGAAUACGUUCCCGGGCCUGUACACACCGCCCGUCACACCACGAAAGUGGUCAUAACCAGAAGCAGGCGAGCUAACCGCAAGGAGGCAGUCUACCAAGGUUGUGGCCGUGAUUGGGGUGAAGUCGUAACAAGGUAACC